rnacentral:rRNA from 1 species
GAAGGGACCUAGCGUAGUUCGGAAUUACUGGGCUUAAAGAGCACGUAGGUGGUUAAGAAAGUUGGUGGUGAAAUCCCAAGGCUUAACCUUGGAACUGCCACCAAAACUUUUUAACUAGAGUAUGAUUGAGGUAAGCGGAAUUUCUAGUGUAGAGGUGAAAUUCGUAGAUAUUAGAAAGAACACCAAUUGCGAAGGCAGCUUUCUGGAUCAUUACUGACACUGAGGUGCGAAAGCAUGGGUAGCGAAGAGGAUUAGAUACCCUCGUAGUCCAUGCCGUAAACGAUGUGUGCUAGACGUUGGGAAUUUAUUUUCAGUGUCGCAGCAAAAGCGUUAAGCACACCGCCUGGGGAGUACGACCGCAAGGUUAAAACUCAAAUGAAUUGACGGGGACCCGCACAAGUAGUGGAGCAUGUGGUUUAAUUCGAAGAUACGCGCAGAACCUUACCAACACUUGACAUGUUCGUCGCGACUCUAAGAGAUUAGAGUUUUCGGUUCGGCCGGACGAAACACAGGUGCUGCAUGGCUGUCGUCAGCUCGUGUCGUGAGAUGUUGGGUUAAGUCCCGCAACGAGCGCAACCCUUACUUUUAGUUGCUACCAUUUAGUUGGGCACUCUAAAAGAACUGCCAGUGAUAAGCUGG